rnacentral:rRNA from 1 species
GACGAACGCUGGCGGCGUGCUUAACACAUGCAAGUCGAACGAAGAGCGACGGAAGCUUGCUUCUAUCAAUCUUAGUGGCGAACGGGUGAGUAACGCGUAAUCAACCUGCCCUUCAGAGGGGGACAACAGUUGGAAACGACUGCUAAUACCGCAUACGAUCUAAUCUCGGCAUCGAGGAUGGAUGAAAGGUGGCCUCUACAUGUAAGCUAUCACUGAAGUAGGGGAUUGCGUCUGAUUAGCUAGCUGGAGGGGUAACGGCCCACCAAGGCGAUGAUCAGUAGCAGGUCUGAGAGGAGGAACGGCCACACUGGGACUGAGACACGGCCCAGACUCCUACGGGAGGCAGAAGUGGGGAAACUUCCGCAAUGGACGAGAGUCUGACGGAGCAACGCCGCGUGAGUGAUGACGGCCUUCGGGUUGUAAAGCGCUGUUAAUCGGGACGAAAGGCCUUCUUGCGAAUAGUGAGAAGGAUUGACGGUACCGGAAUAGAAAGCCACGGCUAACUACGUG